rnacentral:rRNA from 1 species
UACGUAGGGUGCAAGCGUUUGUCCGGAAUUAUUGGGCGUAAAGCGCGCGCAGGCGGCUAUCCAAGUCAGUGGUGAAAGCCCGGAGCUCAACUCCGGAACUGCCAUUGAAACUGUUUAGCUUGAGGAUGAGAGAGGUGAGUGGAAUUCCCAGUGUAGCGGUGAAAUGCGUAGAUAUUGGGAGGAACACCAGUGGCGAAGGCGGCUCACUGGACCGGUACUGACGCUGAUGCGCGAAAGCGUGGGGAGCAAACAGG